rnacentral:rRNA from 1 species
GCCAGCAGCCAUAUCACCCUGCAACUCACAGCUGGCAGCCCACUGAAGCUCAGCAGGUGUGAGCCUGGUCAGUACCUGGAGGGGAGACCUCCUGGGAAAAACUAAGGUUGCUGCUGGAA